CUCAGGGUGGAAUGGUGCGAAUAUCGAAAGAAGCCGCGAGCGAUUGAGGCUUAAGUUUACCCAGAGUCUACGCAGGAUAGUUUGGAAUUCUAUGGCUAAAGUAUCGAUGGGUCAAAUUGCAGACUCGGGACGACUCCUCCCAAUUUCUCUGGGUUGUUGAAGAACUGGGGACAUGAAAUACUACUAGUUUGCUCAACUGGAUAAAAUCUCCUAGUUCUCUUUUGAAGUCCUCUUCGAAUUAAGUCGGUGGGACUUUUCUAGGUGGCGUUGAAGUCGGUCCAGGUGCCAUUCUUUCCGAGAAAUUGAAUGCUCCCCAGACUGGUUCCGAAUUCCAAACACAGAGUAUGCGAGACCUCUGGGGCAUGGACAGGCGAUUCCAAAUCCGGCAUUGGACUGAGCAUGGUUCCGAAAUACAUUAUGUUGUGCGAACCGAAGUGCAUUCUCCAUUGUUUAUAUAAACCGACAUCGCGCCAUGUGGCGAGC
rnacentral:sRNA from 2 species